rnacentral:lncRNA from 1 species
GGGUGGAGUUCAGCCUACUCUUUCUUAGAUGUGAAAGGAAAGGAAGGUCGUUUCAUACCUUGUUGACAGAGGUUCAGACUUCUGCUGAUUCAUAACCAUUUGGCGCUGAGCUAUGACAAGAGAGGAAACAAAAAGUUAAACAAGCAAGCCUGCCAUAAGUGAGAAGAGAGCGUAUUCAGUGAAAUUAUAUGGUAUUGAAUUGAGAGCUGAGAGAGAAUAUGGCACAUUAGAGAGGAGUGUAAUCAGGAGUGGA